rnacentral:rRNA from 1 species
UAGUCAUAUGCUUGUCUCAAAGAUUAAGCCAUGCAUGUCUAAGUAUACGCAAAUUAUACUGUGAAACUGCGAAUGGCUCAUUAAAUCAGUUAUAGUUUAUUUGAUGUUUCUUGCUACAUGGAUAACUGUGGUAAUUCUAGAGCUAAUACAUGCGUAAAAAGCCCCGACUUCUGGAAGGGGUGUAUUUAUUAGAUAAAAACCAUCCUCCUCGGAGUUUGGUGAUUCAUAAUAACUUCUCGAAUCGCACGGCCUUGUGCUGGCGAUGCUUCAUUCAAAUAUCUGCCCUAUCAACUGUCGAUGGUAGGAUAGAGGCCUACCAUGGUUGCAACGGGUAACGGGGAAUAAGGGUUCGAUUCCGGAGAGGGAGCCUGAGAAACGGCUACCACUAUCCGAAGGAAGGCGAGCGAGGCGCGCGAAAUUACCCGAAUCCCGACGACGGGGAGGUAGUGACGAUAAAUAACGAUGCGGGGCCCUUUUGGGUCU